rnacentral:rRNA from 1 species
AUUGAACGCUGGCAGAAUGCCUUACACAUGCAAGUCGCACGGCAGCACGGACUUCGGUCUGGUGGCGAGUGGCGAACGGGUGAGUAAUGUAUCGGAACGUGCCCAGUCGUGGGGGAUAACGUAGUGAAAAUUACGCUAAUACCGCAUACGAUCUAUGGAUGAAAGCGGGGGAUCGCAAGACCUUGCGCGAUUGGAGCGGCCGAUAUCAGAUUAGGUAGUUGGUGGGGUAAAGGACCACCAAGCCAACGAUCUGUAGCUGGUCUGAGAGGACGACCAGCCACACUGGAACUGAGACACGGUCCAGACUCCUACGGGAGGCAGCAGUGGGGAAUUUUGGACAAUGGGCGAAAGCCUGAUCCAGCCAUUCCGCGUGCAGGAUGAAGGCCCUCGGGUUGUAAACUGCUUUUGUACAGAACGAAAAGGUUUCUACUAAUACUAGGAGCUCAUGACGGUACUGUAAGAAUAAGCACCGGCUAACUACGUGCCAGCCGCCGCGGUAA